rnacentral:rRNA from 1 species
AUUGAACGCUGGCGGCAGGCCUAACACAUGCAAGUCGAGCGGAUGACGGGAGCUUGCUCCUUGAUUCAGCGGCGGACGGGUGAGUAAUGCCUAGGAAUCUGCCUGGUAGUGGGGGACAACGUUUCGAAAGGAACGCUAAUACCGCAUACGUCCUACGGGAGAAAGCAGGGGACCUUCGGGCCUUGCGCUAUCAGAUGAGCCUAGGUCGGAUUAGCUAGUAGGUGAGGUAAUGGCUCACCUAGGCGACGAUCCGUAACUGGUCUGAGAGGAUGAUCAGUCACACUGGAACUGAGACAAGGUCCAGACUCCUACGGGAGGCAGCAGUGGGGAAUAUUGGACAAUGGGCGAAAGCCUGAUCCAGCCAUGCCGCGUGUGUGAAGAAGGUCUUCGGAUUGUAAAGCACUUUAAGUUGGGAGGAAGGGCAGUAAGCUAAUACCUUGCUGUUUUGACGUUACCGACAGAAUAAGCACCGGCUAACUCUGUGCCAGCCGCCGCAGUAAAAC